rnacentral:rRNA from 1 species
ACUUAAAUUGAAGAGUUUGAUCAUGGCUCAGAUUGAACGCUGGCGGCAGGCCUAACACAUGCAAGUCGAACGGUAGCACAGAGAGCUUGCUCUCGGGUGACGAGUGGCGGACGGGUGAGUAAUGUCUGGGAAACUGCCCGAUGGAGGGGAUAACUACUGGAAACGGUAGCUAAUACCGCAUAACGUCGCAAGACCAAAGUGGGGGACCUUCGGGCCUCACACCAUCGGAUGUGCCCAGAUGGGAUUAGCUAGUAGGUGGGGUAACGGCUCACCUAGGCGACGAUCCCUAGCUGGUCUGAGAGGAUGACCAGCCACACUGGAACUGAGACACGGUCCAGACUCCUACGGGAGGCAGCAGUGGGGAAUAUUGCACAAUGGGCGCAAGCCUGAUGCAGCCAUGCCGCGUGUAUGAAGAAGGCCUUCGGGUUGUAAAGUACUUUCAGCGAGGAGGAAGGCGUUGUGGUUAAUAACCGCAGCGAUUGACGUUACUCGCAGAAGAAGCACCGGCUAACUCCGUGCCAGCAGCCGCGGUAAUACGGAGGGUGCAAGCGUUAAUCGGAAUUACUGGGCGUAAAGCGCACGCAGGCGGUUUGUUAAGUCAGAUGUGAAAUCCCCGGGCUCAACCUGGGAACUGCAUUUGAAACUGGCAAGCUUGAGUCUCGUAGAGGGGGUAGAAUUCCAGGUGUAGCGGUGAAAUGCGUAGAGAUCUGGAGGAAUACCGGUGGCGAAGGCGGCCCCCUGGACGAAGACUGACGCUCAGGUGCGAAAGCGUGGGGAGCAAACAGGAUUAGAUACCCUGGUAGUCCACGCCGUAAACGAUGUCUAUUUGGAGGUUGUGCCCUUGAGGCGUGGCUUCCGGAGCUAACGCGUUAAAUAGACCGCCUGGGGAGUACGGCCGCAAGGUUAAAACUCAAAUGAAUUGACGGGGGCCCGCACAAGCGGUGGAGCAUGUGGUUUAAUUCGAUGCAACGCGAAGAACCUUACCUACUCUUGACAUCCAGAGAACUUAGCAGAGAUGCUUUGGUGCCUUCGGGAACUCUGAGACAGGUGCUGCAUGGCUGUCGUCAGCUCGUGUUGUGAAAUGUUGGGUUAAGUCCCGCAACGAGCGCAACCCUUAUCCUUUGUUGCCAGCGGUUCGGCCGGGAACUCAAAGGAGACUGCCAGUGAUAAACUGGAGGAAGGUGGGGAUGACGUCAAGUCAUCAUGGCCCUUACGAGUAGGGCUACACACGUGCUACAAUGGCAUAUACAAAGAGAAGCGACCUCGCGAGAGCAAGCGGACCUCAUAAAGUAUGUCGUAGUCCGGAUUGGAGUCUGCAACUCGACUCCAUGAAGUCGGAAUCGCUAGUAAUCGUAGAUCAGAAUGCUACGGUGAAUACGUUCCCGGGCCUUGUACACACCGCCCGUCACACCAUGGGAGUGGGUUGCAAAAGAAGUAGGUAGCUUAACCUUCGGGAGGGCGCUUACCACUUUGUGAUUCAUGACUGGGGUGAAGUCGUAACAAGGUAACCGUAGGGGAACCUGCGGUUGGAUCACCUCCUUACCUUAAAGAAGC